rnacentral:misc_RNA from 1 species
AACGCACAUUGCGCCCGCCGGUAUUCCGGCGGGCAUGCCUGUUCGAGCGUCAUUUCAACCAUCAAGCCCUGGGCUUGUGUUGGGGACCUGCGGCUGCCGCAGGCCCUGAAAUGCAGUGGCGGGCUCGCAAGACACACCGAGCGUAGUAGCUUACAACCUCGCUUUGGGAGUGCUGCGGGUGCUGGCCGUAAAGCGACCUUUGCGUCUUUAGCACUAGGUUGACCUCGGAUCAGGUAGGAGGACCCGCUGAACUUAA